rnacentral:lncRNA from 1 species
UUUUCCCUCUUCUCUCUCAUUGUUUCCUACUCGCACCUCUCCCUUACACCCCCUCUCGUCUUCGUUUUCAUCGUCGGAGUUCCAUCUUACCGCCGAUGCUUUCCGUUCAUCACCGAUUCAUCGUCGCCCUUUUUAGCUCCAGUCGUCUGCUUGUCGUCGCCGUCAUCGGCUUGCCAUCGCCAUUGUCAUCAUUUUUUCAAGUAAGCUUUUUUUGGUUUAAUUCCAAUUAGGUUUUCGUUUUGGGUUAGGAUUGAUUUUGAUUUAGACUUUGUUUUGAUGUAGGGUGUGUUUUGAUUUUGGGUUCCGUUAGAUGCCUUCUUCAAACUGUUGAUGCCUUCUUCAAACUCCUCUGCUCCAUGUGUUAUUGAGGCGACCAAGGUUAUUACUCCAUGGCUCAGCUGCCCUCCUCUCUCU